GGUGGUUUAGUGGUAGAAUGCUUGCCUUGCAUGCAUGAGGCCCUGAGUUUGAUUCCUCAGCACCA
rnacentral:tRNA from 1 species